AAGCUCGUAUUUGAAUUUCGGGAUCAGUACGCUGGUCAUCCUUGUGGGUAUGCAGGGGGUCAGCUGGUUUCUCCCUUCUGAAAACCGGUGAUGUCAUUAAUUGGGUGUCGCGGGGAAUCAGGACGUUUACUUUAAAAAAAUUAGAGUUUUUAAAGCAGGCUCACGCUUUAAAUACAUUACAAUGGAAUAAUAAAAUAGGACGUUUGACCCUAUUUUGUUGUUUUCUAGGAUCGACGUAAUGAUUAAUAGGGAUAGUUGGG
rnacentral:rRNA from 1 species